rnacentral:lncRNA from 1 species
CGCAGAAAAUCAGAAGCGGAAGCUUGUUCAGAAGCAGUUCAGAAGCACUCUUCAGAAGCUAGUUCAUAAGCACUCUUCAGAAGCAGUUCAGAAGCAGUUUCUUAUUCUAAGGUUUAUGUGAAUUAGAGAGAGAAUUGAGAGAAGAGAGAAGUUAUGAUGAAAAUGAAAUUGAUCUUUAUUGAUUCUACAUAUGAAAUGUACAAAGGAGGUAGCUUAUAUACAAUAUCUAGCUAAGUUGCUUGAAGCACAAGCAAUGUAACAAACUCUAGAUCUUAUCUACUAACCUCUAACAAACUUGUAACAAACUUCAUAACAAACUAAAAC